rnacentral:rRNA from 1 species
UACAGAGGUCUCGAGCGUUAGGCGGAAUCACUGGGCUUAAAGCGUGUGUAGGCGGAUCGUUAAGUGCCUUGUGAAAUCCCACGGCUUAACCGUGGAACUGCUUGGCACACUGGCGAUCUUGAGCAACCUAGGGGCGAGCGGAACAAAUGGUGGAGCGGUGAAAUGCGUAGAUAUCAUUUGGAACGCCAAUGGUGAAAACAGCUCGCUGGGGGUUUGCUGACGCUGAGACACGAAAGCCAGGGGAGCAAACGGG